AAGAGUUGCAAAACUCCCAAACCAUAUGUUUAUCUACCUGUUUCGUUGCUUCGGCAGGCGGCUCUUCGGGGCCUUCGCCAUCCGUGGUGCCUGCCGGAGUAUCCAAAAACUCUUGUUAAUUACUGUUCUGUCUGAGUAAACUUUUAAUAGUUA
rnacentral:misc_RNA from 1 species